rnacentral:lncRNA from 1 species
AUGAACUUGUUUCCACUCUACAAGAUGUAAAGACAUUCCCAUACUUACUUGUUUUCCAAAUCUUACAUGUUUAUUGCACUAAUGAAUGUCAGAAGGUAUCCGGUUACUCAAACAAGAUCCAUGUGCUAUUAAUGACUUCAAAACGUUUCAUUGAUAUACCAAUAAGUUCCUACUUCAUUGUUAUGGCAUUGAUGACUCCAAAACACUUCAUUGAUGUGCCAAUGAGUUUUUACUUCAUUAUUAUUGCAUU